rnacentral:rRNA from 1 species
AACUUUCAGCAACGGAUCUCUUGGCUCUCGCAUCGAUGAAGAACGCAGCGAAAUGCGAUAAGUAAUGUGAAUUGCAGAAUUCAGUGAAUCAUCGAAUCUUUGAACGCACCUUGCGCU